rnacentral:lncRNA from 1 species
UUCCCAAAAUUAAAAUGUCUGUUGAUCGAGAUUAAGCGAAACCGAAGGUUUCUUCGUUGUUUCAUCGUCUCGCCGGCCCUCUCAAUCUUUUUUCUCGAUGGCCAAGAGAACCAAGAAAGUUGGAAUCGCCGGGAAUAUGGUGUAAUUUAGGGUCGUGUUCUCGCAAUUUUGUAUAUUCAAGCUGAGAUUUAGGGAUUCCCCUCCCACUAUCCAUGGGGAAGUCGGGUCUUCUUCACUUGCAACUCCUAGUUUGAAUGAUUCCAAAGAAAACGU